rnacentral:rRNA from 1 species
AACGCUAGCUACAGGCUUAACACAUGCAAGUCGAGGGGAAACGACAUCGAAAGCUUGCUUUUGAUGGGCGUCGACCGGCGCACGGGUGAGUAACGCGUAUCCAACCUGCCCAUCACUUGGGGAUAACCUUGCGAAAGUAAGACUAAUACCCAAUGACGUCUCUAGAAGACAUCUGAAAGAGAUUAAAGAUUUAUCGGUGAUGGAUGGGGAUGCGUCUGAUUAGCUUGUUGGCGGGGUAACGGCCCACCAAGGCAACGAUCAGUAGGGGUUCUGAGAGGAAGGUCCCCCACAUUGGAACUGAGACACGGUCCAAACUCCUACGGGAGGCAGCAGUGAGGAAUAUUGGUCAAUGGGCGCAAGCCUGAACCAGCCAAGUAGCGUGCAGGAAGACGGCCCUAUGGGUUGUAAACUGCUUUUAUAAGGGAAUAAAGUGAGUCUCGUGAGACUUUUUGCAUGUACCUUAUGAAUAAGGACCGGCUAAUUCCGUGCCAGCAGCCGCGGUAAUACGGAAGGUCCGGGCGUUAUCCGGAUUUAUUGGGUUUAAAGGGAGCGUAGGCCGGAGAUUAAGCGUGUUGUGAAAUGUAGAUGCUCAACAUCUGAACUGCAGCGCGAACUGGUUUCCUUGAGUACGCACAAAGUGGGCGGAAUUCGUGGUGUAGCGGUGAAAUGCUUAGAUAUCACGAAGAACUCCGAUUG